rnacentral:rRNA from 1 species
UAUUGGACAAUGGGGGCAACCCUGAUCCAGCCAUGCCGCGUGAGUGAUGAAGCCCUUCGGGUUGUAAAGCUCUUUUGGCGGGGACGAUGAUGACGGUACCCGCAGAAUAAGCCCCGGCUAACUUCGUGCCAGCAGCCGCGGUAAGACGAAGGGGGCUAGCGUUGUUCGGAAUUACUGGGCGUAAAGCGAGUGUAGGUGGUUGUCCAAGUUGGAUGUGAAAGCCUUGAGCUCAACUCAAGAAAUGCAUUCAGGACUGGGCGACUAGAGGACCGGAGAGGAUAGUGGAAUUCCCAGUGUAGUGGUGAAAUACGUAGAGAUUGGGAAGAACACCAGUGGCGAAGGCGGCUAUCUGGACGGUUUCGACACUAAGACCGAAA